GGGCCCGUAAAGGUUUCGACGGGGACCUUGAAGUACGGUAAGCGAGCCGAGAUGGGGCAACUCGUUAAACAACCUCAAACUAAAUAUAAACGCUAAUAACAGAAAAUUGGCUCUCGCCGCCUAAGUGCGGCGCGUCCGGCAUAGGAGCACCGCGGCCUAUGCUUGGGCGUCAUUCAGCGGUAAAUGUGCACAGCCCGUUUGCUUUUGAAGCUGUCAUAAAGAAAAAAGCUACCUGAACCGUAAGCCUGUUUGCCGGCGUUCGGUAAGGGGAAUUCUAAAAGACAAGCUGCGCUCGGAGAAGGCUGUAUGGAUCGGUUUUCGGACAGGGGUUCGACUCCCCUCGGGUCCACCA
rnacentral:tmRNA from 1 species